AUUGAACGCUGGCGGCAGGCCUAACACAUGCAAGUCGAACGAGUGGCGGACGGGUGAGUAAUGUCUGGGACACUGCCUGAUGGAGGGGGAUAACUACUGGAAACGGUAGCUAAUACCGCAUACCAUCGGAUGUGCCCAGGUGGGAUUAGCUAGUAGGUGGGGUAACGGCUCACCAAGGCGACGAUCCCUAGCUGGUCUGAGAGGAUGACCGGUCACACUGGAACUGAGACACGGUCCAGACUCCUACGGGAGGCAGAAGUGGGGAAUAUUGGACAAUGGGCGGAAGCCUGAUGCGGCCAUGACGCGUGUGUGAAGAAGGCCUUCGGGUUGUAAAGUACUUUCAGCGGGGAGGCGUUACCCGCAGAAUAAGCACCGGCGAACUCCGUGCCAGCAGCCGCGGUAAUAC
rnacentral:rRNA from 1 species